GAUGAAGAACGUAGUGAAAUGCGAUAAUUAAUGUGAAUUGCAGAAUUCAGUGAAUCAUCGAAUCUUUGAACGCACAUUGCGCCCUUUGGUAUUCCAAAGGGCAUGCCUGUUCGAGCGUCAUUUGUACCCUCAAGCUUUGCUUGGUGUUGGGCGUCUUGUCUCUAGCUUUGCUGGAGACUCGCCUUAAAGUAAUUGGCAGCCGGCCUACUGGUUUCGGAGCGCAGCACAAGUCGCACUCUCUAUCAGCAAAGGUCUAGCAUCCAUUAAGCCUUUUUUUCAACUUUUGACCUCGGAUCAGGUAGGGAUACCCGCUGAACUUAAGCAUAUCAAUAAGCGGAGGA
rnacentral:misc_RNA from 1 species